UCCCCAACCAUGAGGGCAUUUUCACCGUUAGGCUCCCAACCGCAUUGGUGUAUCUCUCCAAUCGGAAACCUUCCAAAUCAAGUUAUUAUAUAAGUUUGUAGCUUUCCUGUUAUAUGUCGGAGGAGAUAAGUAUGUUCAAAGCACGUCUUUCUGCCCUUCCAAUCUCCCUCCUUAUUCUGCCACUUCUUCUCUUCUAAUCUUCAUCCCCACUCCCUCGCUUCUCAACCUUGUCGGCGUCUUUACCGUCACCUCCACACCCCUACCCUUCCUUGAGGAUUGUUGGAGCGAGAACGUCACCUUCACUAUCAGAGAAGCCAGGAGCGACCAUUACCUCGAGCACUUGUUUAUAUUAUACUUCCCUAAAUAUUUAUUUAUACAGGCACAGAUCAAACUAUCCAAAUCUCUUAUGCACGACUCUGCUACUUCUGUCGUUCUUCAUUGCUUAUGUUACCAGACUCCCUACUCCAAGCUUUGGAUCAAAGCAAGUUGAGCAAGUUGAGGAAGUUGUUUUAAUUAUGAUUUCUCUGGAAUUUUUUUACUUCAGGCAUCUCUUCGCGCUGGACUCGGAGGCUAGAGCAUUGUUAGAAAAGCUUGAGUAUCAAAAAGGAAACAUAGAAGCUGCUCUUCCUGUGUUUGAGGGAAUAGACAUUGCUGCUGUUACUCCCAAGAUGAAGCUCUCAAUUGCUUGAAGAGUUGAAAAAUGCAAAUGUCAUUCAAACAAUGAUGCUACCCCUCUCAUGUCUAUGCAUGUUGUCAGUUUGCUUUCUAAAGGAAUCGUUCUUGCUGCUCGCUUCAGACCGAUCUGUGCCUCUGGCCAUGAACUUCCAUUGCCUCCUGGAGAGCAGGGCCGUGCCGUGAAGGAGAGGGAAAAACGAGGUUGCUUGCUCUCAGUCUCAGCCUCCAACUCAGAACAGAACAUUCCUUCCGCAACACAAGGCCGAUAUGUUUCAUAGCAGCCAAGGAUGAGUUUGAUCCAUUAGGUUGCAAGUCCUUGGAAAAUUUAGAGGUAUAAUUCUUGAUAAAUUUGAAUUCUGCUCUGUUUUUUUAACAUGUCUUGUAACAUGCUUUUUCCACACCCCUUUUCUAAAUAUUUUUACUAUUUAUGUUCCCUUGGACUGGUUAUGUUCAAGUUUUUAUUGGUUAGCUAGAGUUUUCCAUUAUUGGAAGUUCUUAAAGUAAUUUUCCUGCUUAAGUCAUAAAUUUAUAAGCCUAUCAACAAAAUAAAA